rnacentral:rRNA from 1 species
AUUGAACGCUGGCGGCAUGCCUUACACAUGCAAGUCGAACGGCAGCACGGGAGCAAUCCUGGUGGCGAGUGGCGAACGGGUGAGUAAUAUAUCGGAACGUGCCCAGUAGUGGGGGAUAGCCCGGCGAAAGCCGGAUUAAUACCGCAUACGACCUGAGGGUGAAAGCGGGGGAUCGCAAGACCUCGCGCUAUUGGAGCGGCCGAUAUCAGAUUAGCUAGUUGGUGGGGUAAAGGCCUACCAAGGCUACGAUCUGUAGUUGGUCUGAGAGGACGACCAGCCACACUGGGACUGAGACACGGCCCAGACUCCUACGGGAGGCAGCAGUGGGGAAUUUUGGACAAUGGGCGCAAGCCUGAUCCAGCAAUGCCGCGUGCAGGAAGAAGGCCUUCGGGUUGGUUAAACUGCUUUGUCAGGAGAAAUACGCACAGGCUAAUACUCUGUGUGGAUGACGGUACCAGCACAGAAGCACCGGCUAACUACGU